rnacentral:rRNA from 1 species
CACGUAGGGAGCAAGCGUUGUCCGGAUUUAUUGGGCGUAAAGAGCUCGUAGGUGGUUCGGUAAGUCAGGUGUGAAACCUCCAGGCUCAACCUGGAGACGCCACUUGAUACUGCUGUGACUGGAGUCCGGUAGGGGAGCGUGGAAUUCCUGGUGUAGCGGUGAAAUGCGCAGAUAUCAGGAGGAACACCAGCGGCGAAGGCGGCCCCCUGGGCCGGCCCUGACGCUGAGACGCGAAAGCGCGGGGAGCGAACGGG